rnacentral:rRNA from 1 species
UAAACCUACGGGGGGCAGCAGUAGGGAAUCUUCCACAAUGGACGAAAGUCUGAUGGAGCAACGCCGCGUGAGUGAAGAAGGGUUUCGGCUCGUAAAGCUCUGUUGGUAGUGAAGAAAGAUAGAGGUAGUAACUGGCCUUUAUUUGACGGUAAUUACUUAGAAAGUCACGGCUAACUACGUGCCAGCAGCCGCGGUAAUACGUAGGUGGCAAGCGUUGUCCGGAUUUAUUGGGCGUAAAGCGAGUGCAGGCGGGUCAAUAAGUCUUAUGUGAAAACCUUCGGCUCAACCCGAGGAUU